CAUACUUCUUUAUAUGCCCAUA
rnacentral:miRNA from 1 species